CCCUUAGAUGUUCUGGGCUGCACGCGCGCUACACUGACCAGUGCAACAAGCAUCCGUCCUUGGCCGACAGGCUCGGGCAAUCUUUGAACGCUGGUCGUGAUGGGGAUAGACUUUUGCAAUUUUUGGUCUUCAACGAGGAAUUCCUAGUAAACGCAAGUCAUCAACUUGCAUUGAUUACGUCCCUGCCCUCUGUACACACCGCCCGUCGCACCUACCGAUUGGAUGGUCCGGUGAAGCCUCGGGAUUGUGGUUCUUGCCGCUUUAUUGUGGCGUGACCGCGAGAACUUGUCUAAACCUUAUCAUCUAGAGGAAGGUGAAGUCGUAACA
rnacentral:rRNA from 1 species